UGAGCAUGGGAAUAAGGCUACACAUGUGUGCUAAGAAAAAGUUCUGCUAGUGGUUGCCUAUGAGUAGUAAAAUCUUUCAAAGUUUGUAUGUUUGAAAGUAUCAUUAUGGCCAGGCAUGGCGGCUCACGUCUGUAAUCCCAGCACUUUGGAAGGCCGAGGCGGGCAGAUCACCUGAGGUCUGGAGUUCGACAGCCUGAGCAACAUGGAGAAACCCUGUCUCUACUAAAAAUACAAAAAGUUAGCCAGGAGUGGUGGCGCAUGCCUGUAAUCCCAGCUGCUGGAGAAGCUGAGGUAAGAG
rnacentral:lncRNA from 10 species